UGCAGUCGAACGAUGAUCCGGUGCUUGCCUGGGGAUUAGUGGCGAACGGGUGAGUAACACGUGAGUAACCUGCCCUUAACUCUGGGAUAAGCCUGGGAAACUGGGUCUAAUACCGGAUAUGACUCCUCAUCGCAUGGUGGGGGGUGGAAAGCUUUUUGUGGUUUUGGAUGGACUCGCGGCCUAUCACCUUGUUGGUGAGGUAAUGGCUCACCAAGGCGACAACGGGUAGCCGGCCUGAAAGGGUGACCGGCCACACUGGGACUGAAACACGGCCCAAACUCCUACGGGAGGCAGCAGUGGGGAAUAUUGCACAAUGGGCGAAAGCCUGAUGCACCGACCCCCCGUGAGGGAUGACGGCCUUCGGGUUGUAAACCUCUUUCAGUAGGGAAAAAGCGAAAGUGACGGUACCUGCAAAAAAAGCGCCGGCUAACUACGUGCCAGCAGCCGCGGUAAUACGUAGGGCGCAAGCGUUAUCCGGAAUUAUUGGGCGUAAAGAGCUCGUAGGCGGUUUGUCGCGUCUGCCGUGAAAGUCCGGGGCUCAACUCCGGAUCUGCGGUGGGUACGGGCAAACUAAAGUGAUGUAGGGAAAACUGGAAUUCC
rnacentral:rRNA from 1 species